rnacentral:rRNA from 1 species
AACGAACGCUGGCGGCAUGCCUAACACAUGCAAGUCGAACGAGACCUUCGGGUCUAGUGGCGCACGGGUGCGUAACGCGUGGGAACCUGCCCUUAGGUUCGGAAUAACUCCCCGAAAGGGGUGCUAAUACCGGAUAAUGUCUUCGGACCAAAGAUUUAUCGCCUUUGGAUGGGCCCGCGUUGGAUUAGCUAGUUGGUAGGGUAAAAGCCUACCAAGGCGACGAUCCAUAGCUGGUCUGAGAGGAUGAUCAGCCACACUGGGACUGAGACACGGCCCAGACUCCUACGGGAGGCAGCAGUGGGGAAUAUUGGACAAUGGGCGAAGGCCUGAUCCAGCAAUGCCGCGUGAGUGAUGAAGGCCUUAGGGUCGUAAAGCUCUUUUACCCGGGAUGAUAAUGACAGUACCGGGAGAAUAAGCUCCGGCUAACUCCGUG